GAAAGUCCGGACUUCACAGAGAAAGCUGAGGGGAAAC
rnacentral:ribozyme from 1 species